rnacentral:lncRNA from 1 species
UCUAAUACUUCUGAUUCCUACAGAUGAAAGAAAAGAAUAUCCUUAAAUUCCUUUCUUCAGGAGCCUACUUGGGUGGCAUCAAUAUUUGCUUUCAGAUGGAUAAGUAUAUCCACAAAAAGAAAAGUGGUGAUAUCUAUACAUUAAACCUAAAAUGGAUCUGGAGAAGGUUCUUUAUGAAUCUCAGGCCAUUGUAACAAUUGAAAACCCAGCAGCCAUUAUUCUCCAGGUAUACUAACCAGCCUGCUGUACUGGAGCUUGCUCCUGCCCUAGGAUCCAUCUGUUUUGUUGGACACUUUAUUCCCAGAACAUUUAGGCAGCUUUCUAGGAUCCUCCUCCUUUAGUGAACUGAAUAUUAAUAUCUUCCAAAGGCAUCUGCUACUAACCUGCUCACUACUGCGCUACGUAACAGAGAUUCCUCAACUCUGUUUUGCAUAGGAUAUUGACAUCUUGUGCAAAAAUGAGGGUACUCACUAAAAGGGUCUGACAUCUGACAUAAUGGUUGCUGGCCUAUGAGGUCCUGCUUGGGUGUGGCACUAUUUCCCCUGAGCACCUGUGGGAAGUCAUACCUGAUCUCUGCUUCUACAGUGAUACUAGAGAGAUUGAAAAGGAAGAACAGAUUGCUGCUGAAAAGGCAGAACAAAGAGAAGUUUUGGAGAGAAUGCAUUACUUAUGUUGGCAGAUUUACUGCAACUCAAUCUGAGCUCACAGAUUCAUCUGAAAGAGUCUGCAUCUAUUC